UGGGUCUGGUGCCUGGCUGCCUGCCCUUGGUUUCACUUCCUUGUUUUUUUCUUAAAACAGGUACUGAGUAUAAAACAAUAUAAAACAAUAUGAGAGGGUCCGUCUCUUCCCUCACCCUGAUCUCCCCAAAUUUGGUCGAUAUCUAAGGUUUUUUUUUGCUGUACAACUCCUUUUCUGGAGUUUUACUCACUUUCAACAAGGAAGGUGAGUUUUCCUGCUUCCAUGAUGAUGGAGGGCAGGCAACUCCUUUCUGGAGUUUCAGCUCAAUUCCAACAGGGAAGGCGAGUUGGAGUUUUUUUCCUGCUUAUAGGCUGGUAGAGAGCAGUGUUGAGCCUGGACUCCAUUCCUAGAUGCGAUUCCUCCCGUGAUCUCAGUGAUUGUAUCAGGCGAAAACGAGGAGGGCAAAAUACCGUCCAGAUGUAAACUAGGAGCAGCCGCACCAGCAGCACCAGCAGAAUGCCGUGGUAGUGCGGCAGGCCCUGGCCCCAUGGACAAAGAGAAACUCGUCAGUGGCAGUGGCCACGAACUCAGAAAGCCUGAGGACAGUCAGCAGCUCCUCUGGCUCUUCACUUUCACACUGGUGCAACUACAGGAGCUGAAGAACAUUUUUCAACUCGUUCCAUACCCGGACGUGUUAGAUGGAGUCUCCCUCUGUCGCCCAGGCUGGAGUGCAGUGGCGCGAUCUCGGCUCACUGCAACCUCCACCUCCCGGUUUUAUGCGAUUCUCCUGCCUCAGCCUCCCGAGUAGCUGGGACUACAGUGGCCUCAGGGAUAUGGAAUUAAGAUCCACCUGGUGUGAUGAAUAAACCCAGACUCUCAGCAACGCAGGAAAAAAAAAACAAAAACUGGCUGGCGAUCUGGAGUAAAGGAUCCUCACAUCCACGUGAACCAGGAAACUCUGUGCCCAAAUCGACGAAAAAAAAACACUGGGAGAGCCGAACUAAAAGUCUUUUAGCACGGGUACCAGCCCUAGAAUUUCCAGUACACCAGCAGCAGCCUGGAAACCACAUCCUCAUCAAAAGACAGAAAGAAAAAAACUCGAGCCAGCCUGAGAAGGACCCUAUUUUAUGCUGUUAACCACUGAGACUGCCAUCCUCACAGCUGAGAAAGGAUGGACCCACCAUACUCAAGUCAAGAAAACAUCUUCCUCGUCAGAAUCAUGGGUUACUGUACUAGGAUUAAGCCUUACUAAGUUAAAGUUAAAGAAAGCUUAAUUUUCAUAUACCUUCUAUAUUGCUUCUUUUCCUUUCCUUAUUCUGUUACUAGCUCCUUUGUUAUUAAUGUAACUAAGUCUGAGUCACCUCAGACCAUUGCCUUUUAUGCUUGCUCUGUCAUACCUUGUGGAAAUGUAAAAGAUCAAUGACAGCUAGCCUUUUCACACAAUUAUUUAUGCCUCGGCCCUCUAAUUGACACAGUUACCCCUAGCACUCAUCGUUGUGAUCACCUGCAGCCAAGACGCUGAUUUUCUGCUCCUAUAGCCUGGCAACCUUGUGGUACAUGGGACUACGUCCUUUAAACUACCCAGGAGCAAAGUUGGACUUCCAUGAAAAAGGUUUGUGCAGAUCUAAAACCUCUCAUCUAUUUCACUAAAAGGACUUCCCCUUCUAACUGUCACCCUUACCAAUGUAACCCUGUCCUCUCUAUCACCACCUCCACCUGUCUUUAACUAACUCUAGACCUGUCCUUAAUUGCUUUUAUGGUAUUGGAAUAGGAAUUAAAAGAAAUUAAAGAAUGUGUAAGGAGAAACUCAGUUGUAUGUAAGAAAACCCAAUUCCCCCUGAGAAAGAGAAAGAGUUGGAGUCCUUUAAAAAUUAACUGCCUGUUUUUCUGUGGCUAGUGAGCCUUAUCUCUCCUCCUUUCCCAGACAUUGUGAAGACCCUGUUUCUCUAGCUGUGCAGCUGCAAGGUCACUAGACAGAUAAACUCAAGUUGUAAAACAUGUUUUUCCUUGAAAAGUAAGAAAUGCUGUAAUGCAUUUCUCAAUUAAUUAAAUAACUGUCUUUGUUUCUCGCUUCUGUAAUAUGCUUCCCCCUGCACAGAUCUCCACCCACCCUACAAAAUGCUUAAAAGGUAACUUAACUCUUUGUUCUGGGCUCAGUCCUUUGGGCUGAGUACUGGGCCGGUGCACCUAAAUAAUAAAUAUCUUCCUGAACCCCAUUUGUCU
rnacentral:lncRNA from 1 species